rnacentral:rRNA from 1 species
GUCUACAGCCAUGCUACAAGCCCAAUCUGUCUGAUCUUGGAAGCUAAGCAGGGUCGGGCCUGGUUAGUACUUGGAUGGGAGACUACCUAGGAAAACCAGGUGCAGUAGGCA